UACGGGGGGGGCGAAGCGUUGUUCGGAAUUACUGGGCGUAAAGGGCUCGUAGGCGGCCAACUAAGUCAGACGUGAAAUCCCCAGGCUUAACCUGGGAACUGCGUCUGAUACUGGAUGGCUUGAAUUCGGGAGAGGGAUGCAGAAUUCCAGGUGUAGCGGUGAAAUGCGUAGAUAUCUGGAGGAAUACCGGUGGCGAAGGCGGCAUCCUGGACCGAUAUUGACGCUGAUGCGCGAAAGCCAGGGGAGCAAACGGGG
rnacentral:rRNA from 1 species